CGGGGUAACGGCCCACCAAGGCAUCGAUGGAUAGGGGUUCUGAGAGGAAGGUCCCCCACAUUGGAACUGAGACACGGUCCAAACUCCUACGGGAGGCAGCAGUGAGGAAUAUUGGUCAAUGGGCGCUAGCCUGAACCAGCCAAGUAGCGUGAAGGAUGACUGCCCUAUGGGUUGUAAACUUCUUUUAUAUGGGAAUAAAGUGCAGUAUGUAUACUGCUUUGCAUGUACCUUAUGAAUAAGGAUCGGCUAACUCCGUGCCAGCAGCCGCGGUAAUACGGAGGAUCCGAGCGUUAUCCGGAUUUAUUGGGUUUAAAGGGAGCGUAGGCGGGUUGUUAAGUCAGUUGUGAAAGUUUGCGGCUCAACCGUAAAAUUGCAGUUGAUACUGGCAUCCUUGAGUACAGUAGAGGUAGGCGGAAUUCGUGGUGUAGCGGUGAAAUGCUUAGAUAUCACGAAGAACUCCGAUUGCGAAGGCAGCCUGCUGGACUGUAACUGACGCUGAUGCUCGAAAGUGUGGGUAUCAAACAGGAUUAGAUACCCUGGUAGUCCACACAGUAAACGAUGAAUACUCGCUGUUUGCGAUAUACAGUAAGCGGC
rnacentral:rRNA from 1 species